rnacentral:rRNA from 1 species
AUUGAACGCUGGCGGCAUGCCUUACACAUGCAAGUCGAACGGCAGCGCGGGCUUCUUCCUGGCGGCGAGUGGCGAACGGGUGAGUAAUUCAUCCGUACGUGCCCAGUAGUUUGGGAUAGCCCGGCGAAAGCCGGAUUAAUACCGCAUCCGACCUGAUGUUGAAAGCGGGGGACCGAAAGUCAUCGCGCUUUUUGAUCUGCCGAUGUCGUAUUAGCUAGUUGGUGGGGUAAAGGCUUACCAAGGCGACGAUCCGUAGCUGGUCUGAGAGGACGACCAGCCACACUGGGACUGAGACACGGUCCAGACUCCUACGGGAGGCAGCAGUGGGGAAUUUUGGACAAUGGGGGAAAGCCUGAUCCAGCAAUGCCGCGUGAGGGAAGAAGGCCUUCGGGUUGUAAACCGCUUUUGUUCGGGAAGAAAAACUCUGGGCUAAUACCCCGGGGGGAUGACGGUACCGGAAGAAUAAGCACCGGCUAACUACGUG